rnacentral:rRNA from 1 species
GACGAACGCUGGCGGCGUGCUUAACACAUGCAAGUCGAACGGAAAGGCCCUGCUUUUGUGGGGUGCUCGAGUGGCGAACGGGUGAGUAACACGUGAGUAACCUGCCCUUGACUUUGGGAUAACUUCAGGAAACUGGGGCUAAUACCGGAUAGGAGCUCCUGCUGCAUGGUGGGGGUUGGAAAGUUUCGGCGGUUGGGGAUGGACUCGCGGCUUAUCAGCUUGUUGGUGGGGUAGUGGCUUACCAAGGCUUUGACGGGUAGCCGGCCUGAGAGGGUGACCGGCCACAUUGGGACUGAGAUACGGCCCAGACUCCUACGGGAGGCAGCAGUGGGGAAUAUUGCACAAUGGGCGGAAGCCUGAUGCAGCAACGCCGCGUGCGGGAUGACGGCCUUCGGGUUGUAAACCGCUUUCGCCUGUGACGAAGCGUGAGUGACGGUAAUGGGUAAAGAAGCACCGGCUAACUACGUGCCAGCAGCCGCGGUGAUACGUAGGGUGCGAGCGUUGUCCGGAUUUAUUGGGCGUAAAGGGCUCGUAGGUGGUUGAUCGCGUCGGAAGUGUAAUCUUGGGGCUUAACCCUGAGCGUGCUUUCGAUACGGGUUGACUUGAGGAAGGUAGGGGAGAAUGGAGUUCCUGGUGGAGCGGUGGAAUGCGCAGAUAUCAGGAGGAACACCAGUGGCGAAGGCGGUUCUCUGGGCCUUUCCUGACGCUGAGGAGCGAAAGCGUGGGGAGCGAACAGGCUUAGAUACCCUGGUAGUCCACGCUGUAAACGGUGGGUACUAGGUGUGGGGUCCAUUCCACGGGUUCCGUGCCGUAGCUAACGCUUUAAGUACCCCGCCUGGGGAGUACGGCCGCAAGGCUAAAACUCAAAGGAAUUGACGGGGCCCCGCACAAGCGGCGGAGCAUGCGGAUUAAUUCGAUGCAACGCGUAGAACCUUACCUGGGUUUGACAUGGAUCGGGAGUGCUCAGAGAUGGGUGUGCCUCUUUUGGGGUCGGUUCACAGGUGGUGCAUGGCUGUCGUCAGCUCGUGUCGUGAGAUGUUGGGUUAAGUCCCGCAACGAGCGCAACCCUUGUUCACUGUUGCCAGCACGUUAUGGUGGGGACUCAGUGGAGACCGCCGGGGUCAACUCGGAGGAAGGUGGGGAUGACGUCAAGUCAUCAUGCCCCUUAUGUCCAGGGCUUCACGCAUGCUACAAUGGCUGGUACAGAGAGUGGCGAGCCUGUGAGGGUGAGCGAAUCUCGGAAAGCCGGUCUCAGUUCGGAUUGGGGUCUGCAACCCGACCUCAUGAAGUCGGAGUCGCUAGUAAUCGCAGAUCAGCAACGCUGCGGUGAAUACGUUCCCGGGGCU